CCUACGGGCUGCAGCAGUGGGGAAUAUUGGACAAUGGGCGAAAGCCUGAUCCAGCCAUGCCGCGUGUGUGAAGAAGGCCUUCGGGUUGUAAAGCACUUUCAGUGGGGAAGAAAGCCUUGGGGCUAAUACCCUCGAGGAAGGACAUCACCCACAGAAGAAGCACCGGCUAACUCCGUGCCAGCAGCCGCGGUAAUACGGAGGGUGCGAGCGUUAAUCGGAAUUACUGGGCGUAAAGCGCGCGUAGGCGGUCUGAUAAGCCGGUUGUGAAAACCCCGGGCUCAACCUGGGAACGGCAUCCGGAACUGUCAGGCUAGAGUGCAGGAGAGGAAGGUAGAAUUCCCGGUGUAGCGGUGAAAUGCGUAGAGAUCGGGAGGAAUACCAGUGGCGAAGGCGGCCUUCUGGACUGACACUGACGCUGAGGUGCGAAAGCGUGGGUAGCAAACAGGAUUAGAUACCCCGGUAGUC
rnacentral:rRNA from 1 species